AUGAUAACAGAAAUAAACUCCUCACUUUUGCUACACUUAACCAUCUUAGCAGUUGUUUAUUUUCCUUCGCUUCAGAAUGAAUCAAGCAGCCAUUAGAAUACUUGAUUGAUUCAAAUUCUACACAAGCUCUGAAACCUCAAUCAGUGUGGCAUGUGAUAGAUUUCCAUUAGUAUGAAGCAUAUUAGCCAUUUUUGAGUUCAAAUCGAAGUCAUUCUAGCACCAUGGUUGCUGCAUAGUCCACUUCAAAACCUAUACAUGGAAAAUCACGUCAUAAAUCAGUAGGAGUGCAAACAACAAAUUAAACUGCAUGUAACCUUAAAAAUCACCAAUCGCUGAAGUGUUUAGGAUGAUGUAAUGAUUAAAGAUAGGACACUCAACUAUUAAUUGCAAAGUAACUAAACGACCAUGAACAGUGAAGUGGCCUAAUUUAACACAAAGCUACAGUACAUGAACCGGCAUUUGAAUUGUUUCAGCACAUCAACAUCCGUGCAAUAACAACGUGAAUAGAAAUCAACAGAAUAACCAAUCAUUGGAAUUUUACCCCUAUGUGCACGUAAUAUUUAACUCCAACGCAUAAGAGUUUCCAUCACUUCCUUGGCAUCGACAGCCUUAAUCUACGCCCACAGAAGCUAGCACAA
rnacentral:lncRNA from 1 species